CCUACGGGAGGCAGCAGUAGGGAAUAUUGGUCAAUGGACGGAAGUCUGAACCAGCCAUUCCGCGUGCAGGAAGAACGGUCCUAUGGACUGUAAACUGCUUUUAGCAGAGAAGAAACGCCUUCAUUUAUGAGGGUCUGACGGUAUCUGCGGAAUAAGCACCGGCUAACUCCGUGCCAGCAGCCGCGGUAAUACGGGGGGUGCAAGCGUUAUCCGGAAUCACUGGGUUUAAAGGGUGCGUAGGCGGGACAUUAAGUCAGUGGUGAAAGUCUGUUGCUUAACGAUAGAAUUGCCGUUGAUACUGAUGUUCUUGAAUUGGGUUGAGGUUAGCGGAAUGUGACAUGUAGCGGUGAAAUGCAUAGAUAUGUCAUGGAACACCAAUUGCGAAGGCAGCUAGCUGGGCCUUGAUUGACGCUGAGGCACGAAAGCGUGGGGAGCAAACAGGAUUAGAUACCCUGGUAGUCCACGCCCUAAACGAUGCUAACUCGAUGUUUGGUUUUAGGAUUGAGCAUCUAAGGGAAACCGAUAAGUUAGCCACCUGGGGAGUACGACCGCAAGGUUGAAACUCAAAGGAAUUGACGG
rnacentral:rRNA from 1 species